CAAGGCGGCGCGGGGAGCAGCCCGGGUCGGGCGCGGGAGGAGGACGGGGCCAGCGCAGGCCACGCCCGCUGCCCGCGGCGCCCGCUGCCCGCUCCUGCAGAAGGCGCGUUGCUGCAGACCUCCCGCGCCGCAGUGUGGAAGAAAAACGCUCUCACGCUGGACGCGAGCCGUUCGUGCAAACCAAGUUAAGGAACAGUGUUUGGCCCCAGAUGAGUCUCGGGGUGUGGCGGGCAGGCCGGACUUGGGGGUUGCCCCCUGCGGCCUGCGACUCUGCAGGGCGGGAGGAAGAGCUUCCUGGGAUCUAAUCUAGCACCUCCGUGCCCCAGCAGGCAUGUUCAGCUUUUCACCCCCCCAGGGCCAGGAGCCCCCGGAUAUGGUACAGGAGGUUCCCCUGGAAGUGUCAGCAUGCUCUUAUGGUGGGUGAAGCCUCGGGUUGGAAGGACAUUCAGGAUCUUUUGCUGAAGAACUUGGGGUCAGUCACUGCAGGUCUGCUGAUGCUGUCCAGGUGACGUCCUAAUAGGAUUUCACAUUGAACAAAACCUCCCAGGUCCUUGAAUCGCCUCCUACCACAAGCUGGGCACCUCUCCACUUGCCCUUACCUCUUGGCAUCCUUGUGUUCCUGAAUGAGGAACACUGUGUCAUAUGGGGCUGCUUAGGACCUGGUGUGUUGUCCCCUCUCCCCACAGACUUCUCCACCACCCUCAUCUGCCUUGAUUUUCAUUUUCUUCAGGUCCCAGGUGCACACACCUUCAGGAAGUCUCUGGAAGAUGGCGGCUCUAGGAGCUGUUGAGGAAGUUCUUCCUGUCCCAUCUCCCAUCAGUCUGUCAUCAUCAGGGACACCUGGAGCCCGGCACCACACAGCACAGCUUCACCUCCACAGUCAUCCACACGGUACUCAUCUGGCCCACUGUGUUCCCUCUGCCCUACCUCCACACUAUGGAGCCCCCAUCUGACCCAGCAACCCAGCUGGCUGAGAGGCAGCAGCAGACAGUUGUGCAGCUUCUUGGAGGCAGGGGCCUGAGAGGCAGCGCUAGGUCAGGACUCAGCCGUGGGAGGAGACCAAACCCAUGUCUGGCUUCCUAGGAAAAAGCCCCUGGGACCAUGGGACCAUUUCUUCCCUGGUGUAGAAAGAGUAGCCUCAGAAUCUGGGUCUGGUGUGAGCAGGAGUGAGCCAGCACCCCCAGCCCUGUCUGAAGCUGUGUUCCCAAGCAGGAGAAGAGAGCCCAGAGUUGUUGCUAGGCUGCUUUGGGUAUGGAACCUGUGGGACCUGCAGGGAUGGAGCCAUUGGCCUUGGUUUUACCCACAGUGUGUGUCUUUACUGGUCACAAGUAAGGAGCAGGCAGGGUGCACUGUGCCCCUGGCACACCUGGCUCUUGGGUCAUGGUGUCCUGAGGCUUCCUCUCUGUGUUGGAUAGCCAGGCUCAGUGCUCCUAAGAGCCUGAGCCAUUGACAGCAAAGACAAGGUCCCUCGUAAGGUAUGUCCUGGCAGCCUGCACCUAUGUUUAGAAGCUGGUGAAAGGUCCAGGAAAACAGCCUUCCUGGUGCCCAAGGUUCUCAGUCUUGGCUGUUCUUGUUAGUCUGUCUACUGGCAUAGUGACGCUGAGGCUUGUGGAGCAUGACUGCUGUACCAGGUCUAGGAUGAGCUUUUCAAAGCCCAGCCACAGCCUUUCACAUGCACACUCACAGAUAAGGACAGAGAGGACACCAAUAGCCAGGAAAUCACAUGGUGCAGCACAGGCCAAAAUGGGAGUUGUGAGCUCUGCGUCUGCUGCCUGACGGCAGGACCUUUUGCCCCUGCCCAUCCCCAGGAUAUUGCUGGGAAAGUACUUCUUUGGAGCACCUUGCAGUGGUUCCUGUGAACUAGGUGGAAUGUCUGGAAGGACCUCAGACUUAUUCUGUGCCGAGCCUUGUGGGGCCACCCCUACCACCAUCUCUUUCUCCUCUCCGGUGGUUUCUGGACCUUCAAGGGCCCCUGGCCUGUGCCCAGGGCCUGCGUCUCAGAGCCCAGAGCUGAGCCCCUUUGCCAUCUGGUUUCUCAGGAGUGCUCCAAGGCCCACAGAUCCCUGACAGACCCCAGUGUUUCCAGAACCUGCCCAGGGUUCCCCUGCCAGUUAGAAUUCGAGCCAGAACUUCUUAGAGCCAAUCCUUCCAGCUUCCAAGUCAGAGUCUGAGAUGAGCCAGAGGAAGCCCACCCAGGAGCCCUGAGUCCCAGUGAUCGUCAGAAGCCCACCCCAUACCCAGUCACUCCUAGAGACUCUCUGGCUGGGCUCAUACUGGGCACUUGGUGUCCUUGCAAGAGGAGCUGGCUCCUUCCUCCUCAGAGGAAAUGAAGGAUGCAGGGGGUUCAUUAAGCAGGGUGCUCAGCUGUCCCUGUGGGCAGCAGGCUGAGAUCCUGUGUCCGAAGCUGAGACCACCUCCUGGCUGGUCCCAGCCUCUUAGAGCAGGCUAGGAAGCAGGUGUAGGACAUAGUUGUUCUUCUCCCAGGACCUCUGUGUUCCUACAUAGACACAGGUCAGGGGCCAUGGCCAGUUUUGGGGUGCUGAGGGUCUGACACAGCUCCUCAGGGUCUGUGUUGUAUCAAUAUAGGGGCAGUGGAGGGCAGUGGGGCCUUCUGAUGGGGGCAUGGGAAGGAGGCCAGGCCAGAGACUGCCCAGCUUUUGUCUGCUUACAGAGCAAGGGAGGGUAAGUCCCAAAGCCAGGUUCUCAGGAGGGCUUCCUGGGGCAGCUCUUGACCAAGCCGGGGAGGAGGAGAAAGGGUACUCCUGGCUGGGGAGGCUCCUGGCAGUGGCACGGAGUCAAGCUGCCCUGCUCUUCUAGAGGUGCUGGGGAGGUGUAUCCGUGGCAGUGGAGGAGGUGGUGCUGUGUGUUAAGGGCUUGGCCCAGGAGCACGUGGCAUCCUGUAGGUGCCCUGGGCAAGUGGGGCUGAUUCCAGGGGAGGCAGCACUCUGGAGGGUGGGGCCUGAGCCAUAGCCCCCAACCCCUAGGCUCUCCCAGCUCCAACCCUGAGGUGCUCUCCCAGCCAUCAGAACUGGAUCUCCAAGACCUAGAGGAAGUGGAGAUCGGCAGAGACACCUGGCUUGGUGAGUGAGGACCACUGCCCACCCUACCCCGGCACACUGAGCACGUUUCCCAUUGCCCUGGAGCUCCUGAGCACCAGGCUCUGGGUAUUCCCACUGCUGUGGCUGGCGGCUGCUAUCUGAGGUUGGGCAGCUGCUUCCAGGGAGUUGGGCUACAGUACAGUUGUCACUGAGGCCACCGCCACCCCAUGGAGCUCUCUGAGCAGGUAUGAGCUCAUUGGAUCUUACCCGUCUGGCAUGGCAGGCUUCAAGAGAGGCUUGUUUCUUGUCCCUCAGUACUUGAGCCCAAAGGAUCAAAGUUCCAGAUCCUUGCCAGUCCUUAAUGUCAACCCUUGGGCCACCUCCUCCCAGCUCAGAGUAGACAUGCAGGUCUCGUUAACCACUGUGUCCUCGUAGACAGCCAAGGCCCCGUACACAUGCUCAGGUCACCAUCUGACAGAGCCCAGCUGCCCCCCACCGUAUGUUUCAUCUCAGCUGUUUGGGGCAGAACACCUUGGCCACUGUUCGGGGCCUCCUUCCACCUCACCAGUCCCAAGUCAGGCUUACCCCCCCAGGUUCUGCUCUUACUUGGUCCCAGUCCCUAGAAUGCCGCAGUGGGGCUGGAGCUGGGUACCAUCUGUCUGCCGUCUCUCCUUUCAGACUCAGAGGCAGAGCCUGGGCAGGCUCCAUCAUCUCCCCACCAGCAUGUUUCUGAAGACAGGGUGGACCCAGAGGGAGGGGCUCUGAGGGGCCUCCUGAGGAACUCUCCCCACAGGCCCAAGUGUGGGGAGAGCUUUGGGCAGGAGUCCAGCCUGGAGCGGCCAGCAGACCAGCCUCCAGGGCCCAUGCCCUGCACCCUGAGGAGGAGUGCCUGGUGCCUGGCACUCCUGUCGCAGGGAGCUUCAGAGACCGAGGGCAGCCCUGAACAGGCUCCAGAGCUGGGGUGCAGCUUGGGUCCCAGGCCACCACAGGCCAGUGCACGCGGCACCAAGCCGCACCGCUGCGAAGCCUGUGGCAAGAGCUUCAAGUACAACUCGCUGCUGCUGAAGCACCAGCGCAUCCACACAGGUGAGAAGCCCUAUGCCUGCCACGAGUGCGGCAAGCGCUUCCGUGGCUGGUCGGGCUUCAUCCAGCACCACCGCAUCCACACCGGGGAGAAGCCCUACGAGUGUGGCCAGUGCGGCCGCGCCUUCAGCCACAGCUCACACUUUACGCAGCACUUGCGCAUCCACAACGGCGAAAAGCCCUACAAGUGCCGCGAGUGUGGCCAGGCCUUCAGCCAGAGCUCCAACCUGGUGCGCCACCAGCGGCUGCACACGGGCGAGAGGCCCUACGCCUGCAGCCAGUGUGGCAAGGCCUUCAUCUGGAGCUCCGUGCUCAUUGAGCACCAGCGCAUCCACACGGGCGAGAAGCCCUACGAGUGCGCCGACUGCGGCAAGGCCUUCCGCGGCCGCUCGCACUUCUUCAGGCACCUACGGACUCACACCGGCGAGAAGCCUUUCGCGUGUGGUGCCUGCGGCAAGGCAUUCGGCCAGAGCUCCCAGCUCAUCCAGCACCAGAGGGUGCACUACCGCGAGUAGCCACAGCCUGGCCUGCAGUAAAUCCUGUGUGUGGAAACAGGAGCUGGCUUCUGCUGGGCGAGGUGGGCUGCUUCCCGACCUGAGGGCCACCAAGGGGGAGGGCCUGAGGCCAGGAGCCGGCCUGACCCUUCCAGAGCCUUGCCAUGGAGCCGUCAGACCUGCCCAGCACCGGAUGGGGACCAGUGGCAGCACCUGGAGCAGGCGGGGCGGACGGGGGGCUGCCUUCCAGGCUCCUGCGUUCCUCCAGCAGCCUGUGGCCUGGCCCAGGCUUCCUGUCGACCCUGGGCACAGGGUCUGCGGCAGCUGGGUCUCCUCAUGGCAGGUCUCCCCGCACAGCCCUCAGGCCUGUCCGUUGUCUCCUCCUUGCUCUUCCAUUUAGGGCUUGCAAGGUCAGCAGGCUUCCAUGAGAGGACCUCCCCGACCUGUGUUCUCCCUACCUGCCUCCCAUGCUGCUCCUGCUCUGACAAGGUGGGGACCUUGAGUUGUUGGGGCUGGACAGGUGUGCAGAGGGGUCAGGAUUUUGUCCUCUGAAGAUCUUCCCAGAGAGUCCUGUGGAGGGAAGGGCAGAGCCCGGUGCAGAGGGCAGGCUCCAAGCAGCCAGGGUUCCGGGCACCUUUCCUGCCCAGCUGUUCCCUCCAGAGCAGCUGAGGGACAGCAGACUCCUCCCAAGACUGCAGUGCCCAAGUGUGACCUCCCUGGCCCUCCCCACUGCUGGGCUUGCCCAGGGUUCCUGCUGGCAGGUCCCCGUGGUGGCUGGGAGGCACUACCCUGCUGCACUGGUGGUGUGCUUUGUGGCUGUCAUCAGCCCUUGGCCAGCCUGCUUCCCAGGGGACACGGAAGUUAUGAGGUGACGCAUGGCUUCCUGCAUGUCACAAGCAGUGACCCAUCUCAAGUCUCCUGAUGGGUCACACAGCCCUCUGCAGCCCCUUGAGGAAGGCACCUGUGGCCACCAAGUGCUGUUUGCCCCCACCCUGUGUCCCCAUGCCAACUGAGAGCCAAUCUAGAGGUGAGAGCUAGAGGUUAGGCUGUUGCCUGCCUCCCCCGCCCCUCAGGGAUACGUGGGCAGCGCGAGACUCUGCAGGCAGCCCAGCAGCCUCAUCACCAAGGACGGGCUCCAUUGGCAGUAAUGGAACCCAGCAGCAUCUAGGGAAGGUCCUAUGGUGCUCCAGGGGUCCCAGCCUCCUGGAAGUGGCCUUCAGGCACCUUGUGGGGCAGGGCCAGGUGCCCCAGAACUAGCUGUGGGUGCUAGUGGCUGGCAGGGCAGCUCUUCUGUGCUGGGUCUAAACCUUUGCUGAGGCAAAGUCACCGUUGUCCCUUGCUGGGCAGGACCACCAAGAUGAGCUGAAGUGGAAUUUGCAUCUCCCGUGGUACCCUUUUUCCUCCAAUCCCUGGCAGUCAGCAGAUUCCCAGAUGUUCCACCUGAUCUCCACCCAAUGUUUCCAGGAAAUUCAGUGUUAGGGGUCAGGCAUGGCUCCUCAGGACCGUUCUACUUACCCUUGCCCAUCCCCAUCAGCAUUCACUUGAUUAGAGCACUUAUCUCCUGUGCCCCAGAGGAACCUGGGCACCAUCUCCCCUCAGUUAUUCCUGCCUUGCAGGAGGUAUCUUGUCUGGGCCAGCCUGUGAAGGGCUCCUGCAGUGGCUGUUUCCAAACUCCAGAAGUGACCAUUUCUGUGAGCACAGCGUCUGCAUUUGGUCCCAGAGAAAGGGGCCCUAGAGGGACACUUGAGCCAUCAGGUCCUGGAGCUGCCAGAAAGGAUUUUGUGAGGCAGUUUCCAGGGAUUGCAGGCAAGGGGAGGGAGGGCUGUGAGCUGAUGAAUCCUAGAUGGAACCACUUGGUUUUAGAGUAUGAGGAUCUGCCCCAGGUGCCGUGAGACAAGAGGCAGAUAUAUCCAGGGUCACGCUGCGUUUUAUUGUGGAACUUACUGACAAAGGCAAAGUUGUGAUAAGAUCCAUUGCAUUCUCAAAGUUUGGAUCAGAAAGGGACAUAUAUAUGAAUCAGGACCAAAGUAACCUCAUCCUGGCUGAAUUGUACCUGGUUUAUCUUAAUAUGGAAGAGUUGGGUACAUCCCUGGAGUCGGGGUCUAACCUUGUGCAUUGUUUGCUAGUUGGUGAGUGCAAAACCACUAAGCACCACCAGGAGGAAGAGUAGAAAGGCAUAUUACUUGAAGUCAGGAGAACACGAGAUAAUUCUCAAAGCAGUGUGCCCCCCCAAAACAAAGCAAUGGGCUUUUAUUGGGGAAAUGGGCAUAUUCCCCUAGGAGGCUCAUCACUUGUAGAGGUGGGCACACUGCUGGGAAUGCUCAGUUUGAGGUCACAGCAUAGCCUUUAAAAAAAAAAAAAAAAAAAAACCCCAGCUGGCGAUGCCUCUGGGCAGAGAAUUCAGUAUUACAAUGAGCAGAGUUCACUCCAGGUCACCUAGACUCCGUGGUCAGCAGCUUGCACUGGUUCCUUGUGAGUUGCUCUGGAGAGUUUGGUCUGGAACAAAACACCUCUGAUGGAGCAUUAAGUCACUUAAGGGGCGGCUUCUCCUUUCCUCCAGGAAGCCUAGGCGUUUGUCCCCAACUGUACCAGCCCAGUGCUAACAGUAUGAUUCUGUGGCUUGUCUAUCACAGUUUGCUGGGGAACUGUGCAGGAAAAACCAAUUAGGGUUACUCUGGGGCAAUUGUGGGGGUAGACUCAAGAUGGCUGUAGUCAAGCUGAAUCUACCCAGGCUGCACGUGGCUGUGGCAAAAAGGGUCAAUCCUGGGUUUGGAGACUGCUGUUGGACACAAGGGUUUGGUUUUUACAUAAACAUACCUGUAUGGUGCAAUGGAUAAGAAAAUCAACUGUGGAACUUAAAGGACAGCUGUACUCUUAUCUGUGUAAAAUGAGAUUAAUUUCUCUGAACCUGUUUCCUGGUUAGUAAUAUGAUGAAGUCGGGUUUUCAGUGUUUUGAGAGCCCUUGGGUAAGUUGGGACUUCAGUCGCAAAGCAGUUAGCAACCCUGCCCUUCAAGGGGAUAGAGGAGGCCAGAUCCUGGUGUUGACCAGGUGCCCCUCACGGGAUACUUCCUUCAUCUGGUAGGUAGCCUUGUGUUUAGCUGUGGACCUGUACCAAGGUUUCCUCACUUGGGAGCGUGUCUAUGCUGGCAGACACCUGAGUGGCUCUUGUCUGACCCAUUUUGUGGAAGGCAAUCCAUCUUUGCCCCCGCGGUUCCUUUCUAAGUACUCCGCUCCUGCAGCUGGUCCGACUGUGCCUAGCCUGGGUUCAUUGCUGGACGCUCGCGUUCCCACCCCAGUCCCGGCCAGCACCCCCUCUCUCCUGGACCACAGCCUCAACCCAGAGUUGGAUUCCCUUUUUCUUCCCACCUACAAGCACAAAGGCCUUGACGCCCCCCACUUCCCGCAAGCCCUUAUGGCCUGUAGGUCCCCUUGCUUGCCCCGUCUGUGCCCCACCGCCGCAUCCCCUAGCACCUCGGACAGCGCCGGGCGAGCAGCCGCGGUCCCCAGGCUGGACUUGGGAGCCAGCCUUCGGAAGUGCCUGCGGCGUGGGGCGGGGCCUGCUGGCCGCGCUUCCGUCUCAGCGGUGCGCGUGCCGCGCGCUGGAACUUGGGCCUCCGGGACCACGGAGCACCCCUCUGCCCCCGAGCCGGCCGGCCGUGCGUCCUCCGGGGCCCCUCUGGUCCCGGUCCGCCCCGCGCGCGGCGGCCAGCUGCAGCUGUGAGCGUGGGGUGUGUCCCCUGCAUCAAGCCAGGGACCCACUCCGCAGGCGCGCCUUGAACGAGGCCGGUACCGUCUGGCCAGCGACACCUGGUGGCCACCGUGAAAGGAGGGAGGCUGGAGGAGUCGUGGGGAAAGCUGCGCGGCGCGUUCCUCUCCGCGAAGGCGCGUCCUGGAAUGUCGGGACAGCGCUUUCUCAGUGCAGCCCACCGGGAUCGCCGAGCGUCUGCCCCUGUCGCCUUCUCCUGCACACCAGUCGGGGCGAAAGGGAUGCUCCUGCUGUUGCCGCCGGAAGAGACCCACCCUCCUGGACCUUGCCUGGACACGGUCUGUUGGCCAGGCAGCUAGCCGCUGCCUGCCUCCUGCGCAGUCCUGUGUCCCUUCGGAGCGCACCUGGGCUCUAAGCACAGCCCGGUGGGUGUCUUCUGAGACCCUCAGGACCUGUCCCAGGACCGGAAGUGUACAUCCCAGCCAAUGGGCUCUGGCACCGGCUCUAACCUUGUCUCCCGCCUCACCUGCCCAGGGAGACCGGCCAGACUCUCCGUCAGGCAGCCAGGAUCCCAGAACACCGUACUUACCUCUCCAGCCCCCUUCUUCGUCCCUCGGGCUCGAGCCCCAACCCUGCUGCCUCCCCUCACUCAGCCAGCAGCCUCCAUGGGCUCUGCCAACAGCCCACCCUUGCCUGCUGCCCUACUGGGUGGGUGGGAGGUACCCCGCCACACCGCAGAUCUCAGGGAGGAAAGUUGAAGUCGCAUCCUUAAAAAGCACGUUUUUAACAAAUUUCUUUUCCCCAAAGCAUUUGUUUGUGGUCUUUAAAGAAAUUUUAGAAAAUGUAAAAAGAAAGAAAAAG
rnacentral:lncRNA from 1 species